rnacentral:tRNA from 1 species
UGGCCCAGUGGUUAAGCAUUUGACUGCUGACCAAAAGGCCGGUGGUUCGAACCCACC